AAGAACAAUCAGACAUUUAGGGUGUUCUCAAAGGUGAGGUGGGCUCUUACCAAGCCACCUUUCUUUCUGAGGAUUCUAUAUGGGGUUGCUUGGAAUGGAAUCCUGGUACCACAAAGGAAGGACCUGGAGUUGUUUCUAAGGGACCAUCAUUCUGCAGGCAAGAAUGGGAACACACCAUGUACAGUACACACAGUGUUUGAGCAAGAGAGAAAGGAGGGAACAAAAGGAAGACAGCUGGGAGAGAGGAAGGAUUGAACUGAAGAGAAUGUUUCUAAAUGCAAACAUGAAGCACCAGCAUUUACACCAGUGUGACUCAGGGGUGUGAGAGCAGCAAAGACAGAAAGCUGCCUGAGCAUCUCCCAGUGACAAAAUUCAGCAAGGUCUGUGGAGGACUUAUGACUUAUAAGCGGAUGAAACUAAAACUCCUCUCCAAAGCUCUGUUGGAAAGACAAUUAAAGGCACUAGACAGUGAUCUAAUAGCAUAUUUCACAUAUAAGACUCUGCAUAAAGAAAUGUUUACAUUCCUGGAUAUCAUGUAAGAAAACUAAUUUCCCUGGCUAAAGAAUCUGACUAUAGAAGCUUGAAAUACAGUUUAACAAGCUGGA